CCUACGGGUGGCAGCAGUGGGGAAUAUUGGGCAAUGGAGGCAACUCUGACCCAGCAACGCCGCGUGAAUGAUGAAGGUCUUCGGAUUGUAAAGUUCUGUGAUGGGGGAUGAAAACAAUGACGGUACCACAAUAGCAAGCCACGGCUAACUACGUGCAAGCAGCCGCGGUAAUACGUCGGUGGCAAGCGUUCUCCGGACUGACUGGGCGUAAAGGGUGCGUAGGUGGGUUAGUAAGUUGGCGGCGCAAUUCCGGGGCUCAACCUCGGCGCUACCGCGAAAACUAUUAGACUAGAGUGCAGGGGAGGUAAGUGGAAUUCCUAGUGUAGCGGUGGAAUGCGUAGAUAUUAGGAGGAACAUCAGGGGCGAAGGCGACUUACUGGACUGUAACUGACACUGAGGCACGAAAGCGUGGGGAGCAAACAGGAUUAGAUACCCGGGUAGUC
rnacentral:rRNA from 1 species